AAGUUUCUUUCUGAACUCUUACUAGGAGGUGCCUGGGCACCCUUUGGGGACAGUAAACUUCCGCUAAAUGAACCGCUCUUGGGUCAUUUUUCCAGCCUAAUUAGUAGUUGAGUGUAAAACACUGCACAUGUCUUUUGACGGGAAACAAGGCAUGGUAAGGCAGUAUCUUUAAGUUGGAAGUUGGGAGUGAUUGUGGUGAGGAGUUAAUGAUGUCAACUUUGUGUCUAUUCCAGACCGCAGGAGAGCCUGACUCCCAGCUUUGGCAUCCAGAUAAGUCUUUGAAAAGUCUCUGUGGCUUGCGUUCACCAAAGCUUUUAAGGAAGCAGGGAGAAACUGAUGCGGCCCUUAGCACCGAGUUUAAGACACAACUAUGUUCUAUGUUUUUAUGGAUUACAUAAAAAAUGGUAAAAACUAGAAUAUUUGAAUGAUUAAAUAUUAACUGUGUGUGACAAUCCACAUAAAAUCAUUGCUGUGAGAAGUUUGUUUUCACAAACUUCAUAAGGUUUAUAUUUGAAAUAAUAAUACACAUUUUGGUAACAAUCACACCAAAGUUUACUUAUAAUAAAAAUAAGUGAAAAUAUAUAUUUUUAUAACCAUUAAACUUUUUACUACCAUUAUAAAUUAUAUUUAAAGAAAUAUAAAAAAAAAUCUGACUGGAGAAAUUGCUCAGCAGUUCAAGUGCUUGCUGUUCUUGCAAAGGGCUAGACUUCCAUUCUCAGGACCAGACUGAAGUGCUCCACUAACAGCUGGGACUCUUCCUCCAGAGGAAGCAACAGCAUUGAUCUCCUAAGGGACCUGCACUUACACGCACACAGACACACAGACACACUCAUGCGCGUACAUACACACGUACAAAUACAUUUUAAAAAACCAAUAUCCUUUUUGUACAUGACAAUACAACAAAUUGUCUUCAACAACUUCAGUGAGUUUCAAACCCAACCACUUUUCCAUUUUACACUGAAGCCCUGAUUUGCGAAAUGAGCACGUACUAUGAAAACAGGCCUGAAGUUGACUGAAUUCUGUCACAAUGGUGCACUAGCCCUGAACACCCCAGCAUGUGAGUGACGCAGAGGUGAGCAAGUAGGCCAAUAUCUCAUCUUGGACCAAUACAGAGCUCUGUGUUCUCUUGCAAGGUGAUUCCUCUCACAUCUCUCCUGAUCACCCUGUCUUCUGUGUGUUGUUCAACUGGUAAAGGAAUCGUGUGACCAUCAAUAAGAUACUUCAUUGACCACACCCAGAGCCCCCUUGCAGGGAUGUUUGUUGCUUUGGCCAGAAGACCCAAUGCAUCCCAAUCGUCCUCUUCUGUCCAUGGGCUCUACUGAGGCAGUUGCUUUGACCAGAAGUUCACCAACCUUAGGAUCCAGAUGAUGCUGGUUAUCCCCAGAACUGAUCAGACAUCCCUGCCUAACAAUACGCUUUUAUACCAUGGCAGCUGCCACCAAGUAUUAAAUAUUCUGAGCUACUAAAGAAUUUUCAUAAUACUUACGAAACGUGGAGAGUGCUUUCCUCAUGAGCUGAACGCCACAGAGGACUGCUGUUUGGCAAGAUAUUGAAAAUUACUCACACCAAUGAACAAGUAAAUUCCACCUCAUAAAUUAAAAGAAAAGACCAAGAUUGAUGGGAUAAUCUUGAAAUUGCCUCAAGAGAACUUUUGACAAUUACAAAGGGAGAAGGAAUGUGAACAAACUCACUGAAACUCACAGAAGAGGCCGUGGCCGUCACUUUCAAAGAAUGAACAAGAAAAAGCAGAGUUUAGGAAGUUAAAUAAAAUCUCUGACGACGUCCCAAAGAUUAACUUUGCUGUCUUUAAAAUAAAUUACUAGAUGGGUA